UGAAUUGACUGAAUUCCAUCUGUUAAAAAGAUUGAUCCAUACGUCAAAAUGUUUGUUUCCUAAUAUCCAUUCAUUGUGAUAUGUUGUUGCCUUCGAGAUAUUUGUCCUUAUCAUAUUCAUUAAUAUUAAGGUUUUCUGUUACUCUUAAUUCAAUCUUUAUGUCACUAUUAAUGAACCAAACACACUAGAGAUAAGAAACUAUACAUCUUAUUGGAAGAUUUACUUUAUUAAAUACAGAAGAGACUUCCCUUUACACUUUCUAAAUGUAAAGAACCUUAAAAAUUAAUUAUAGGGGUGCCUGGGUGACUCAGUGGUUGAGUGUCUAACUUUGGCUCAGGUCAUGAUCCCAGGGUCCUGGAAUUGAGUCCCACAUCAGGCUCCCUGCAAGGACCCUGCUUCCCCUCUGCGUCUCUGCCUCUCUGUCUCUCAUGAAUAAAUAAGUAAAAUCUUAAAAAAAAAAUAACUGUAGUAUUAGCUUAAAGGCUAAUAAUUAAAUUUUAAAUUGGUGAACUAUCCACAUGUUAAAACGUUGCCCAAGGAAUAUGGCUAAAAACAAAUAACAACUCUUUCCAUUUUUAUAUUUUGCACUUUCAAGUAAUUGUUGGAAUGAUGCAGAUUAUAACAUCAAAAAUCAGUCCUGCAGCCUGACAUUGUCAGUAUUACCAAGGUCUGUUGAAGACUUUUUAUACCCACAGUGUCACUUUCUGAUUUGAUUAACAGUUAUAUAUCUAAUUGUUAUUAGGGUUCAUUCAUAAGCACUGUAAUAGCACUACUUGGGUACUAGGACCACUGGUAGGACUAGUUGUUGUUAUCAGAACAGCACAUUUUCUUAUCUAGAAGCUAUUUAGUUCACCUAACUCAAGACCUUCUCAAUAUGAUGACAUUCUUUAAAUCUCCAAGUAACAAUUUUCUAAUGAAGGACAGCUAGGCCUAAUCCUAGCUGUGGAUUACAUGUGAAUUCAUGUGGAUUACAUGUGAAUGUGGAUUACAUGUGAAUUCAUUAUUAAACGUAUAUUUCAGAACUGUCCUCGAGUUCAUAAUCACUCUUUUAAUAUUCUAUAGUCAUUAUCCACAGUGGAUCCCAUAACACUGAAAUUUGCUUGAAAUUAAAUGUCAAUAGAAAAGUGUUCACCACUUUCAUUUGAUUGAAAAUUCAUCAAUCCAUUCAUAAACAAUAUUGAACACCUGCUAUAUAUAUCCCAGAAAACAGAUUUGCUCAACUGUCAUAGGACUAUGUAUUUAGUAUUACCAUAUAUUCUGAUUUUUUAAUUGUGCAAUCUACUGACUUUUCUAUGUGGAGGGGGAAACUAAAAAUAUUUUGUGAAUAAUGUGGUUCACGAGCUGUUGAUAUGUAAACCCCAAAUGUUAAAUAAAUGAAUGU
rnacentral:lncRNA from 1 species